GACGAACGCUGGCGGCGUGCUUAACACAUGCAAGUCGAACGGUAAGGCCCUUCGGGGUACACGAGUGGCGAACGGGUGAGUAACACGUGGGUGAUCUGCCCUGCACUUCGGGAUAAGCCUGGGAAACUGGGUCUAGUACCGGAUAGGACUCCUGGCUUCAUGGUUGGGGGUGGAAAGCUUUUGCGGUGUGGGAUGGGCCCGCGGCCUAUCAGCUUGUUGGUGGGGUAAUGGCCUACCAAGGCGACGACGGGUAGCCGGCCUGGGAGGGUGACCGGUCACACUGGGACUGAGAUACGGCCCAGACUCCUACGGGAGGCAGCAGUGGGGAAUAUUGCACAAUGGGCGCAAGCCUGAUGCAGCGACGCCGCGUGAGGGAUGACGGCCUUCGGGUUGUAAACCUCUUUCAGCACCGACGAAGCGCAAGUGACGGUAGGUGCAGAAGAAGGACCGGCCAACUACGUGCCAGCCGCCGCCGUAA
rnacentral:rRNA from 1 species